rnacentral:lncRNA from 1 species
ACAACCCAUGACACACACACAUGCACUUAUAUAUAGAAAAACACACGCACUACAUGAAAAAAAAGAGGGAUUACGGAAGGAGAAAGAAACAACAUUGAAACCAAAGAAAAAAAAUGUUUGAAAAAAACAAAAAAAACAAACAAAACUACAACGUAGACAACACAGAAAGGAAAAGAGGAAAGGAAAAUCAAAGCGAAAAAAAAUUGAGAAGAAAGGAAAAACUAAGAGAGAAAGACGAGGAUUGAAACAAAAAAAGGAAAGAGUUUGAGGUUUGGUUCGUGAUUUCGAAUUCGCGGCUUC